rnacentral:misc_RNA from 1 species
AUUUUUAGAUAAUAUAAGCUUUUCAAGGACGUAGUUGUCCGGUGCACAUGUGAAUAUUUUCAAGCAUGGAUCCCAAGAAAUUGAAAGAUUUACUUGCCCAAGGUGGUAAAAAGGGUGGAAGGUUAGGUAUGGGGUUAGUGGCAUUAGCUGGAGCUGCAAUAGGAAUCCAACAGUCAUUUUAUACAGUUGAUGGUGGUCAUCGGUCUAUAAUUUUCAGUCGAAUUGGUGGUGUCCAAAAGCAGGUCCUAGCUGAAGGUCUUCAUUUCAGAGUGCCAUGGUUUCAGUACCCUAUAAUUUAUGACAUUAGGGCCAGACCAAGAAAGAUCACCUCACCAACUGGAAGCAAAGAUCUUCAAAUGGUGAAUAUAUCUUUACGAGUGUUGGCGCGUCCAGAUCAAACAUUUCUCCCCCAGAUUUAUCGACAAAUAGGUACAGACUAUGAUGAGAGAGUACUGCCCUCUAUCUGUAAUGAGGUUUUAAAGUCUGUUGUUGCCAAAUUCAAUGCCUCCCAACUUAUUACACAACGUCAACAAGUGAGUAUGUUAAUCAGGAGAGAACUGACAGAGAGGGCCCAGGAUUUCCACAUCAUUCUGGACGAUGUGUCCAUUACAGAACUCAGCUUCGGAAAAGAGUAUACAGCUGCUGUUGAGGCCAAGCAAGUUGCCCAACAAGAAGCACAGAGAGCCCAGUUCUAUGUGGAGAGAGCCAAACAGGAGAAACAACAGAAGAUAGUCCAAGCUGAUGGAGAGGCGCAGGCUGCUAAACUCAUAUCCUUUCACACAAUUCAUUACACAAAGCAUAUAUAUAUGUAGCUGUUAGUAACAAUUUGAAUGAAGGGUGCACAUUGGUUUGAAGUUGCUGGUUGAUCAAUGAUGAAUUUUUUUCAGAAGAGCGUUGUGAACUGUUACUGAAGUCUACGCUAUAUCAUAAAAGCCCUGUGUCUAACAGUCCUGGUCUAUAUCUCAAGAACUCUUUUGUUUUAUGAUUUAAAGCUGAACAUGACUAAUAAAUAAGCACCUUUACACAGAUAUUUGAACUCUUAGAUUUAACUAUACCCAAUUUUAUACCUUAAACUCAUGGUCAACAUGUAGUAUUCCCUACAUUAAUUGUCUUAGAUUAUUUGUCUGUAUUUCUUGUUUUAUGAGCAUGUUCUGUUUGUAAAUAAUGGAUUGACCUGUACAUUUGAUGUUACUGUCUCACUUGCUUGGAAGAGAAAUAGAGGGCAAUGCCUUUUAUGAGUGUUGUUCAGCUUUAAUAGAAUUUUUCAAAGCAAAACCUAUUAAUAUGUGAAAAGAAAACAUUGCCGGUAGGAUUGGUUUACAUUUUUGAUAGUUUUAGCCUAAUUUGAGUAGCCGGUACUUCACAGAAUAUGUAAUAAGUACAUUUUGUUUCAGUAUAAAAGUAUUAUAUUAUUAGUGAUUACCCUGAUAUGUUUGAUUAUGAUCCUUGACACAAAGUACAUUGGAGAGGCUAUUCAACAAAAUCCUGGAUUUUUGAAGUUGAGAAAAAUUCAAGCAGCCCAGAAGAUUGCUAAAACUUUGGCUACUUCUCAAAACCGUGUCUACUUGCAAUCUGGCAAUUUGAUGCUGAAUAUUACAGAUAAAGACUUUGAUUCAAACCUAGAGAAUCUGAAGAGACGAUAAUCAGCAUCACAGGAACAAAAACUAAUAAUGUUACGUACAUUAUGAAUAACAUUUUAUCGUGAUGAGUUGUGAAACAUAUGGUGAAUUAUGUUUGUAAUGACUAGAUCAUACAUUUUAUGUAUGUGGAUAGAGAGAUUGACUUUGUGUGAAAAAAGAAAAAACUUCAUAUAUCUUAAGUGAAAACUUGUAAUCACAUUAAAAACGUACACAAAAUUUU